GCCGUCUGAAACUCUGGAUCAUUCUGUCAAGCAAGCGGGCAGACCUCUCGCUACCAAAAUCUCCCUUCCUGUUUCUAAGGAGCGACAGUUCGCCGCUCCAAAAACGUUAAGGCGGGCGGCGACGCGAAAAGCCAUUCCAUGGUGGCCCUUUCCUUCACUCGCUUUGUCGCCAUCUCUCUUUCUAGCGGGGUGUUGGUGUUAGGUUAUAGCAUAAACGGCCUUGCCUGAGAGAGGGAGGGGCUUUCUAUGGCAAUGGAGGAACCAGGGCAGCUUCAACGGGCGCUAAUUGAUGCCACAGCUGGAGCAUUCGCUGGUGCUAUAUCGCGUACAGUUACCUCGCCGCUUGAUGUUAUUAAGAUCAGAUUCCAGGUUCAACUAGAGCCCACAUUUACACGGGCUUUGGUUCGUGGAAAUAUUGGUGAAUCAUCAAAGUACACUGGAAUGUUGCAAGCAGCAAAAGACAUAUUUAGAGAGGAAGGCUUGCCGGGUUUCUGGCGUGGCAACGUCCCUGCUUUACUUAUGGUUAUGCCAUACACUGCCAUACAAUUUACAGUGUUACACAAAUUGAAAACUUUUGCAGCUGGUUCUUCAAAGUCAGAGAAUCACAUUCACUUGAGUCCGUACCUCUCUUAUGUCAGUGGGGCAUUAGCAGGAUGUGCAGCUACAGUUGGAUCAUAUCCAUUUGAUCUUCUAAGAACCAUAUUGGCUUCACAAGGUGAACCGAAGGUCUAUCCAACAAUGAGAUCUGCAUUUGUUGAUAUCAUCAGAACUCGUGGCUUUAGAGGCUUAUAUAAUGGACUAUCGCCAACACUGGUUGAGAUUGUUCCUUAUGCUGGCCUUCAGUUUGGCACCUAUGAUACUUUUAAACGUUGGACCAUGGCCUGGAACCGGCACAGGUUUUCUAAUACAAGCUUAACCAAUAUUGAUGAUAGUCUUUCAAGCUUUCAGCUUUUUGUCUGUGGAUUGGCUGCUGGAACAUGUGCCAAACUUGUCUGUCAUCCUCUUGAUGUGGUCAAAAAAAGGUUCCAGAUUCGAGGACUACAGAGGCAUCCAAAGUAUGGUGAGCGAGUUGAGAACUACAGAAAUAUGCUUGAUGCUCUGCGAAGAAUCUUUCAAGCGGAGGGUUGGGCUGGCCUUUAUAAGGGCAUUGUACCUUCAACCAUCAAGGCUGCGCCAGCUGGUGCUGUAACGUUUGUAGCUUAUGAAUUCACAUCAGACUGGCUGGAGUCUAUUUUGACUUGAAACUAACAAAUAUUUUUUUUGUGUUAGUAUUUUCUUUUCUUAUUCAUUGGGAUCAUCUCAUUCUUUUUCCUAUAACCUUCAAAGGCCCCCAUAGAAGUGGGAUGAUUAUUGUUUCCUAUGAUUUAGUCAUUAUAAAAUAGGUGUAGUUUUGUACGUUUUAGGGUAAGAUAGCGAGGGUAAAAGUAGAUAUAGAGCUUGAAGUGAAUUUUGUAGUUUCUGCACUGCAGUUAACAAUAAUAUUUAUGAUCCAAUGGAGCUUGUUCAUGAUAU
rnacentral:misc_RNA from 1 species